CAGGAGUGAAGCGUCUGUCUCUUGGACUGGAGAGUCCUCACUGUAAACUGGAAGCUCUCAGUCUGUCAGGGUGUCUGGUCUCAGAGGAAGGCUGUGCUUCUCUGGUCUCAGCUGUGAGAUCCACGUCUUCAAAACUGAGAGCACUGGACCUGAGCUACAACCAUCCAGGAGACUCAGGAGUGAAGGAGCUGUCAGCGGCAGUGGAGGAUCCACACUGCUCAUUGGAGACUCUCAGGGUGGACCAUGAUGAACAGCAGAGGCUCAAACCUGAUCUGAGGAAGUAUUUCUCUCAACUUCAACUGGAUGAAAACUCAAUGAACAGAAACCUCAAACUGUCCAACAAUAACAGGACGGUAACAUAUGUGGAGGAAAAGCAGCCGUAUCCUGAUCAUCCAGACAGAUUUGAUGACUGGACUCGUCAGCUGCUGUGUAGAAAUGUUCUGAGAGGGCAAUGUUACUGGGAGGUCGAGUGGAGCGGAGAUGUUUAUAUAUCAGUGAGUUACAGAGGAAUCAGAAGGAAAGGAGACAGUGAGGAGUGUUUGUUUGGAAGAAAUCAUCAGUCCUGGAGUCUGAUCUGCUCUGGGGGAUGUUACUAUGUCUAUCAUGGUAACAAUGAAACAUCCCUCUCUUCCUCCUCCUCCUCCUCCUCCUCCUCCUCCUCCUCCUCUGGUAGAGUAGCAGUGUAUGUGGACUGUCCUGCUGGCUCUCUGUCCUUCUUCAGAGUCUCCUCUGACUCUCUGAUCCACCUCUACACCUUCAACACCACAUUCACUCAACCUCUGUAUGCUGGAUUUAGACUCUGGUCUGGUUCUUCAGUGAGUCUGUGUCCUUUGUAGGAAGGAUGUGUCUCUCUCUGACAGCAGGAAGGGGGAGGAGUCUUUCUGAAGGUGGGAGUGUUUAUCAUAAAGUGGGAGGAGUAAAUCGCAAAGUAGCUGUACAAAACGAGAGUUACGAAUGUAACUACGGUUCUAUGAAUCCCGGAUGACUGGGAUGUUGACUGGGAUGUCAAGCAGAGGAAUGUUGCUUUCGCGCAUGCGCAGUUCGAGUAUGUAUACCAACAAACAUCACUCGUGACCCCUGGGUGACCCAGGAACUGUAUAAGUUCGGGAUCUUGACCCAGGAACAGCUCCUACAGAAUCUUCUCGCGCGAUCACGAGGAUUCCGAGUGACAGAGCGCUCUGGCGGUCAUCCGGGAUUCAUAGAACCGUAGUUACAUUCGUAACUCUCAUUCUAUUUCAUCCCUACUGACCGCCAGAGGCAGUGCUGAAAGCUCUGGAAUGAUGAAUGCCAACUCAGUCACGAGGAAUCCCAGAGACCAACCUCACUGAGAAGCCUCUGCAGGGCCCAGUACCACCCGCAGUGCAUGCGGAGGCACAACGGCCAGCCUGUAGAACCUGAAGGAGGUGCCAGGCGUUGUACAGAUAGCGGCAGCACAUAGCUCGUCCAGGGGCACCCCCUUCAGGGUGACCCAAGACGUGGGCACCGCCCUGGUGGAGCGGCAAUGCACACCCUCGGGCAGAGGCCGGCCUGCGGCCUGGAAUGGUGAACAGUGUCCACAACCCAGUGAGACAGGCACUGCAUGGAGAGAGGGGAGCCCUUACUAGGGCCUCUGUAGAAGAUAACCGGGUGGCCAGAUGUCGGCACAUCUGCAAAGCAGCCAUGCAGCAUUCCAGAGUUCUAGCUGGGCACAAGAGCCCCGGCCGGCCCUCCGGGUCAUCCGAUGGCGCCACAUAGAGUGAGUCACAUAGGCUGGCUGUCCUCAGCCCCGACAGCACUCCAGGAAGGAAGCGGCAGUCACAGCGUGACGCCCGCCCCAGCCGGACACCACCGGAGACAUGCGGGGAGAAUAGACAGAGCAUGCAAUUUCCCCACACACUACGCCAUGGUAAUGGCCAGCAGGAACGUCAUCCUACGCAACACCCACUGCAGGCCUGCCACUGCCAGGGGUUCAGGGAGGCUGACACAAGCUCUCCAGCACCAGAUGCAGAUCCCAGGAGGGUGCCCGUGGGGCUCCAGGGGGGCGAGCUUUAAAGCCCCCCUGAGGGAACCGACACCGCAGUGUGGCCCCCAAUCGCGCCGCCUGCAACCCAUGUAUGAUGGGCAGAUACCGCCGCCACGUACACCCUCAGGGUGAACGGGGACCAGGCUCCAUCCAAAGAGACUGCAGAAGUCUAGGACCAUGGGGACCAAGCAGAGCACCGGGUCCUGCCCACGGCCGCUGCACCACUGUGCAACCAACCUCCACCUACUACCAAACAGCCGCCUGGUAGACAGUGCCCUAGCAUUCAAGGUGGUCCACCUGACAGGUUCUGAACAGCUCAGCAGCGAGUUGGGCCCCUCAGUCGCCAGGACAGGACAGAGAUAGCGAGGGCGGGGGUGCCCCACCGGCCUGAAACAGCAGAUCCCUCCUGCUGAGAAAGCACCAUGGCCUACUGUGGAACAACCUGUAGAGCAGAGGAAACCAAGCUCACCCGCAGAAAGCUUUCGUAAGCCACUGCAAACGCACAGCUCCCCUAUGGAGGCACUACACCCCUGGUGGGGGAGUCCAACAGGAGAGGGUGCCUGCCAGCACCAUGAGGCCCCUGCAGGUACACAAUCUGGCCAAACAGGUCGCCGACCACCACAGCUGGGUCUGUAGAAAGCCUGAGGAAGGGUCAUCACCAGAUACAGGCUCCAGGCCGACACCAAGAGCGCGGCUCGGUAGGGCAAGUGCGAGAAGCUGAGGGAAGGGGGCGUACGCCACCUGCACAGCCAGUGCAACAUCACCAUGCCAGCAAUGUAGCGGUGCCACAUCCGGGAGAGGGAGUCGCAAAUCACCGGCUUACCCGCUCAGAGAGCCACCCCCAGAUGGAGUGCUCAGUGGCCUCCUGCUCUGUCCGCCACCCUCAUAAUGCCACCCACCGGAACGGUGGGGAAGGAACGGUGAGAAAAAGGCAACCGCCCCAAAGGGGAGGCCCCCUGACUACCCCCAGCAGCAGAAGAGACCUGCGCCUGCCCAGUAGUUCACGGUGCAUAGGGCCUGUAGCCACCAUCCAUGCACAGGUUGUCUGACAGCGCCUCCCUGAGGUGAACAGGACCAAGGCAACUGAGACAGCGGUCAUGGCCCCUGUAGGGGGCGCUCCACAGGUAACACCAUGGUGAGAACCACUACGUCCUGUCUGCAAGAGGUGGCUGGCCUCCUUCACACAUCACAGGCUAGCUGCUUAGCCGAGCUAGCGGCCGUACGCCGCCACGCGCCAUGUGAGGUGCCAACCGUGCAGCAGCGCUGGCACCUCACAUGGAGGGGAGCUUAAAUGCUGCUUCACAACAGUCAGAAGCACAGUAUCACAACAGCCAGACCGCUGCUCACUUCCUGAAGCUGGGAGAGGGACGCGAGCGGUGUGCCUGAGCCCCAGUAACACCGACCACGCUAUAACGGCCACGGUCAUCAUGUUCCAAACAAACCCGGGGGGAGCGAGCCGCAACCCCCCCAUCGGUCAGGAAGAGUAGUAGAUUCAGCAACCUCACUGUCUGCCCGGAGCUUAUGAAUGAAUCUCUCACUGCAGGCAACGCUGCCUCAGCAUCGUCGAGUAAGUGAACGGGACCGCAACACGUCACAGCCUUUGGACGGCAUCAGCAGCUCCAACCCUCAUGGUCACAAGGCUCCCAGCGACGGUGCGUCGUGAUGCCGCACAGGCAUGUCCCGCAAUCCACAAUGUGUACGAACUGUAUGUGAGAAGAAAAAAGAAGCCAAUCCUGGGGGGAGACCUGAAAUUAUACAGUUCCUGGGUCACCCAGGGGUCACGAGUGAUUGUCGGUAUACAUACUCGAACUACGCAUGCGUGAAGGGAACAUUUCAGUGCUUUCAGCACCUCCUCUGGCGGUCAGUAGGGAUGAAACAGAACAUUAGUUUUUUUCUUUGUUCUAUUUUGUGUUGUCUGGAAGUCUGUCACCUGCUGCCCAGGAGGAGCAAUGACGUUACAGCAGGGAUCACAAUGAGGUUUGUCUACUGGAAGAACUAAAUGGAGCUGGUGGAGCAAAAGAAUAAACUGAGAGGAUCCUCACUAUUUGAGAAGAAAAAAGAAGAACAUGAACGAUGCAUGGCAUUCAUUGAAUGAUGUCCUGAAAAAAUACCAGGGGUAGAACAAAUUAGUUCUCCACAGUAAUUUACUAGUAUUGAUCAACACAGUGACCGUAUGAAUGCCAUUUUGUAAAUGUUGGAAAUCAACUCAGAAUUUAUGGAAGUAAAUCAUGUGUUGUCUGAUUUUCAGUUUGAAAUUUUAUAUCUGAUUUUUUUUUGUUUUUGCACCAAAAUCAGACUGUGAAUUUUGAAAGCAUUUGAAUAGAUAGCACUAAAAAGUUUUUGCCUUUGAUUUUUUUUGUACAAUUUUUAAACAAACAGUCAAUGUUCAUAAUUCAACAAUAAA